rnacentral:rRNA from 1 species
CAGUAGCCGCGGUAAUACAGAGGGUGCGAGCGUUAAUCGGAUUUACUGGGCGUAAAGCGUGCGUAGGCGGCUUCUUAAGUCGGAUGUGAAAUCCCUGAGCUUAACUUAGGAAUUGCAUUUGAUACUGGGAAGCUAGAGUAUGGGAGAGGAUGGUAGAAUUCCAGGUGUAGCGGUGAAAUGCGUAGAGAUCUGGAGGAAUACCGAUGGCGAAGGCAGCCAUCUGGCCUAAUACUGACGCUGAGGUACGAAAGCAUGGGGAGCAAACAGGAUUAGAUACCCCCGUAGUCCCUGUCUCUUAUAC